CUAUAUCGUCAUAAUCAUUCUGAAAAGAUAUACUGUCUUUUUCAAACUGUAGACCCGAAUCAGAUUCUUAAUCAACUUAUUUUAAGCAUGAAAUAUUACUCGCUAACAAAUCUACAAACUAGGAAAACAGGGAAAUUAAAAAAUUAUGGAUAGUAUUAAUAACUGUUCUCUGUCCAAGCUUCGUAUUCUAUUAUUCAGUAUAAUGCUCUUUGUUUACCUACUACAAAUUAGUAUUUCUCGGAUCAUAAUACUUUUGUUUU